CCUGAUUGUCCAGCUGAUUGCUGUAGGAAGAGCUACCUUAUCCGUGAUAGAAGAAGAGCUCGCUAACCAGCUGAUACAGAAACUUGCUCUGCAAUAUAACUUUCCCUCGCGAUUCACUUUCUGCAAGAACAUGGCCCCAUCACUGCACUGUUCCUGCAUGUUACUAUAAAAGGAGCAACUGGCUUAGGCUACAGGUCAGUGGGUGCAUGUAAGAACAGAUUUAUGGGGUGCUCCUAGUGACUAGCAAACCUUCCUCUGCUUGAUGGCACAUUGGUGACCGCUCAUGGUGCCUGGUGUGGUGGUGGUGGCGGUAGAGGAGGAGGUCCAACCGUAGCAGCAUGUCAGGUUGGGACUGGAUCUGAAGAUCAGCAGGGCUAUCAAUCUCUCCU